ensembl:lncRNA
UAUUUUUUACCUUGCUUUAUUGUAAAUAUGUCUACAAAACUCAAGAUGAGAUGGCUGUAUAACAAAGCAGAGUUUCACUGUUUAUCCAAACGUUGGAGAUGAUUAUAUGAUUAAACAUCACCUCUCCAAGCGUUUCCAAGUAUGCUCAUAAGCAAACAUAAGAGGCACACCCAUUCAGAGUGUGCGUACAUAUAUAUAUAUAUAUAUAUAUAUACACAUAAGUAUAUACAUACAUACACAAAAACAUACACUCAACUCUGGAAAGACAUCAAAACCCAGGACAGCACAAACACAAAGCUCUCUCGCUGUUGUCCUUAGAAAAGUGAAAAAAUCUUAAUUUUUAUAGUAGUAUAGAAAAUACAAAUCUACGUGUGACCGAUUAAAUACAAAAGUUGUGCACAGCCAUUCUUAGUCCGGUGUGGACGGAAGAGAUUUCAAAUAGAUGAAAGGACAAAUACAAACCAAAACAAAACACAAUCAUCAACACAAACUAACUACUCAGUUUUCAAGAACUUUGAGACAUUUGUACCCUUGUUAGAAAUAAAGUUUGAAAACAUAAACAUGAAUUACAAUGUUUUCUCUUUUGUACUUAAAGACACAGUUGACAACAAUAAAUGACAAUUAUACCUGUAGUGUUUAUGAAUAAAGCUAAAUAGGACCAAUUGAAGAGCAGAAUGUGUACAGACAUAAGGCAACGCUAACGUCUAUAAUUGAGGCUGUGCUACAGACAAAGUUUUGUCUGAGUAGUGCUCAGUGAUUUCUCAGUAUCUGCUGGAUCUUCCACUAGCUGGUAAAUCUGGUACAAUCACACCGGACUGCCAAGACCACGCCACUGUGAGACUUUAUCAUUAUCCAAUGCUGUUAUUAGUCCUAGAGAAAGAUUGGCCAUCCGUGGAAUGUCUUUCAAGACAUGUGUUUGCUGGGCAUUAAGCGUGCUAGUAACCACUGCUAAUAACCUUAAUGCUAGAGGCAUGCUACUAGUUGUCUGAACAUGCGUGUGUUCCUCCUACAGAGCUCUGAGUCUUGCCAGCAGGGCAUCCACAUCAGAAUCUCCUUUUAGCGAGGAACAUGAAGGCGACUGUUUACAACCUGUUGCCAAAGAUUCAACCACUAUAUUACUCUCCGUCUUGCUUUCCAUCUCUCUCUCUGCAGGCCUAUGUCUCUCAGCCAUCCUCCCUCUCUCUCCCAGCCGCUCUCUCUGAUUAUCUCUCUCUCGUGGUCUCUCUCUCUCUGCGGCUCUAUCUCGCUCUCCUGGUCCCUCUCUCUCUGCAUAUAUCUCUCUCUCUACCUUUCUCUCUCUCUCUGCAGCUCUAUCUCUCUCGGCCGGCCUCUCCCUCUCCACAGGUCUCUCUCUCUCAGUUGGUCUAUCUCUCUCCAUGUGUGUGGUGGUGGUCUUGCAGGGGCCCCUAGUUGGGGGCCCUCUGGUACCGGGACCUCCGGGGCCUCGGCUGAGGGGGGAGAUGAAGCCCUGCACAGCUGGUCUGAUGUUCUCUGUAGGAGAGGAGAGAGAGGGAGAAGAGGUGGAGAGAGGGAGGGAGGAUAGAGAGAGAGAGAGGGGGGGAGGGGGCGGGAGGAGUGAGUCAGAGAAGGGGAAGACAAAAUCAGCAUCAGAAAGUUGAGCCAGGAAUUAAUCAAAUCUAUAAU